UUUCCUGUUUCCAGCACUUAGACACAAUACAUUAGUCUCUAAAACAAUGUACUAAGUCUGAGAAACAUACCUUUAUCCUUUAUUUGUACUUUAUCCACCAUUUUAUACUUAGGCAUUUGUGUUGGACACUAAAUCACCAAAAUACUUAGAAAUGGCCCAAGGGCACAUUUCCCUUUCAGUUCUACACAAAAUAAAUAAGUAAUUACAUUAUAAGGAGGCAACGGUCCAGCAACCCAAAGUUGACUGGGAGACGACGACCUAGACCUCUCACGAACUCGCACAGCAUCCUCCAUGCGCCUUAUCCUGCGGUACCUGUUCUUGACCUAUGGGGGGUGUGAGACAGCAAGAGUGAGCUCACAUACGUUCAUCGCUCAACAAGUUGUGGGGAAUAAUGUGCAUGAACUCGCCAAAGGUGGGAGCUCACGUGAAGUGUAAGGCUUACCAAAGAGGAUGGUUAGAGCUGAGCAUUGCUUUUAAAGUUGGUCAAAAUUUUAUUAGCAGUUACUAAGUACAAGUAAAUACCAACCCAAUUAAAUAGUAGAACAAAAGUAACAACAUCACCUGCAAUGCAAUGCAUAUGACAAAUUGAAUUUAGUUCCAUAAAUUAAUCAUGUGAGGGUCCGAGCUGCUCAUGACCGUGAGCACGGCUAGUAUACCAGUUUUACACUCUGCAGAGGUUGCGCAUCUUUACCCACAAGUCAUGUUACCCAUCUGCCAAGGGAUCGCGACUUCCCAUACACCUCUACCAAGGAGGCGAGGCAUGGUAACACUAUGAGGCCUUUACAAAGUUCCACUAGCUUCAGAAAACCCGCUACAGUUUAUAGGAAGCUCCAAUGCAGGGAUCCCUCGCAUGAUCGCCAUCGCAGCAAAAUCAUCCCAAGGACCUCCCUACACUGACCACUCCCCUACUGCCCUUGCCCCUUUCGGGUAAGGUAGUCUUCCACUAGCUUUCCUAAUUAAUCAGCCAAGGGCGUCCAUAAACCCUUGUGGUAGCACUGUUUUCCCGGGUGGUCGCUCCAUGUUCCAAUUAACAUAAUGAUCUUAUCAUGAACAAUAAUAAUAAAUAGAUAAUAAAAGUGUGAUCAUGAAUAAUGUAUCUUCAUACCUAAAACCACAUAAAGCACUAGCAAGUACUACCCAAAAAGUUCAGUGGUAAACAAGGUAUAAAGAUAAUCAAACUAGGGUAACCUAUUGGGUCCCAUCAAAAUUAACCUAUGCAGAUCAUUAUGAUUAAUUAGAACAUGAGUGGGUAAAAAGAAGUGAUCAAGGGCACAACUUGCCUGGGACUUGAGAUUCCAAGUACCAACUUGCUCUUCAGGUGGCUCGUAACCUCACGCUAGUCGUAGCAAUACAGACAAACAUGGUAUAUGAAAAAUUAACAUCACACCAUACAUAAGAAUAAACUGUGUAAUAAUAAUCUACGCAUUGCUACGAGAUCGUGGAAACAAGAACCACUAAAUUCGGAGCUACGAUUAUUAAGUUAUGAAUUUCCGGAAUUAUUUAGUGCUUAGAAUAGAUUAAUCCUAAUGAACAAUUUUAAUUCUAGUUUCAUGGCUAAAAAGUGUUACUAGUUGGUAGACAAUAUUAAUACAAGAUUAUUGCAACUGGAAUGACUCAAUUUGGAGUUAAAAUGAAUUAACUAUGAAUUUUCUAAGUUCUCAAGUAUUUUUGAUAUUGUUUUUAUACAAAAAUAAAUUUCCAGAAUUAAUUUAAUAAGGAAAUAAGAUCUCUUGGGCUGCGGCCACAAUUCCAGAGAAGCGCAGGGGAAAUUAUAUAAAAGUUUGGACUUCGGCGCAAUUAACUUAUAACAGAUCAGGACUGCGGAUUGAUAUUAAUAAACAUAGGGGCUCUUUUGUAAAACGGGUCGGCUGAAGGGGUAUGGGCCAUCUGUAGCCGUCAGAGCACAAAUCAAGGGUACAGAUUAGAAGCCCAAGCGCCGAACCGGUAUGUAAUAUCAACCGCAGGAUCGGAGAUCAACGGUCCACAGAUGAUCUGAACGAAAGGGGAUAACGCUUCUAAUCACAGCCGCUCAUAUCAGAUCGCAUGGUUAGGAGCCUUUCACCUACCUCACGACCGCGGACGAACAGGGGUGCCCAAGUUCACGCCGACGAGCAGCCGAUUCGACGCCCAGGUACCUAAUCCUCCCACCGGAAGCGAGCAACACGCAGAGCAGAGGACAGGGAACAUCUAGGGGGCGACUACUCACCGAGAAGGAGCUGCGACGUAGCUAGCCACGGUUGCGUGCGGCACUGCGGUCGAGGAAGAUGGCCGACGACGAAUUCCGCUCGCACCGAUCGAUCACCCCACACGCCUGUGGCACCCACACCUUCAGCAGCCACAUGCGAAACUCCCAAUCCUCCAAUACGGACCCAGAUGGGCCGGCGACGAGCUGAUGGCUCCGCGGCGGCGAUGAAUUUACUUGACCAUGGUGACCGACACGCCCAGAGGCUUGCCGCAGAUGAUCAGCGCGCUCCCACGAACCCCAAUUGCACUUCCACUGGAAUCAGCACGGUGGCGCAGAGGGAAACCACGGCGGCGGGCAGAGAGCGACGGUGGCGCUGUCUCCCUUCUCUCUAUUCCUCUCGAUGUGUUCGAUGGCUCUCGGGGUGCCAAGCUUGUUCCGUCUCAGCACAUGGAGAGGGGGGCUGGUAACAAUGCUGGGGUUUUAUGCCCCUGUGGGCGGAGUCCGCACCCGAGGGAUUCGGCUAAUUC
rnacentral:lncRNA from 1 species